AAUGAAGUGCCUGAACUAAAAGGACUAUUUUGAUAGAAUAGCUCAUGUGAAUUUCACCUUUAUUA
rnacentral:tRNA from 1 species